GAUGAACGCUGGCGGCACGCUUAACACAUGCAAGUCGAGCGGAGGUUGAAAGCUUGCUUUUAACCUUAGCGGCGGACGGGUGAGUAACACGUGGGUAACCUACCUCAUACAGGGGGAUAACGUAUAGAAAUGUACGCUAAUACCGCAUAAGCCUACAGAAUGGCAUCAUUCAGUAGGAAAAACUCCGGUGGUAUGAGAUGGGCCCGCGACUGAUUAGCUAGUUGGGGAGGUAAUGGCUCACCAAGGCGACGAUCAGUAGCCGGUCUGAGAGGAUGGACGGCCACAUUGGGACUGAGACACGGCCCAGACUCCUACAGGAGGCAGCAGUGGGGAAUAUUGGGCAAUGGGGGAAACCCUGACCCAGCAACGCCGCGUGAAGGAAGAAGGCCU
rnacentral:rRNA from 1 species